rnacentral:rRNA from 1 species
UUACGGGGGGGGAACGGGAAGACCCUUCCCAGUUCUUGACAUCUCCUGACCACCCUAGAGAUAGGGCUUUCCCUUCGGGGACAGGAUGACAGGUGGUGCAUGGUUGUUGUCAGCUCGUGUCGUGAGAUGUUGGGUUAAGUCCCGCAACGAGCGCAACCCUUGUUCUUAGUUGCCAGCAUUCAGUUGGGCCCUUUAAGGAGACUGCCGGUUAAAAGUCGGAGGAAGGUGGGGAUGACGUCAAAUCAUCAUGCCCCUUAUGACCUGGGCUACACACGUGCUACAAUGGAUGGUACAAAGGGCUGCGAUGCCGCGAGGUGGAGCCAAUCCCAAAAAACCAUUCUCAGUUCGGAUUGCAGGCUGCAACUCGCCUGCAUGAAGCCGGAAUCGCUAGUAAUCGCGGAUCAGCAUGCCCGUCGU